GAAGGACGCCGGGCGCACACUCUCCGCGCACGGCGGAAGGCGGCCGGAGGCGCCGCGGCGGACCCCGCACCCCCAGCGGACAGUUCUGAGGACUUAUGUCAUCAUGACCUCUUGUGAAGAAGCUGAUACUGAAGAAACAGUAACAUGUCUCCACAUGACUUUUUACCAUCCUUGCCAAGAUGACAAGAGGAUGUUUCGUUGCCUGAAUUUCUAUAAGCGAGAACAGCUCCGGGCAGAUGAAAUGGCUGUGUUCGGCCGCGAUCCUAAUAUCUGCCGAUAUAACUUAAUGGAUUCUCGUGUUUCUCGGAUUCAGUUUUCUUUGCAGUUUUACAGAAAACUGAACAGCUCAGAAUUUUGUUUUGAGAUAAAGAACAUGAGCAAGAAAACAAAGCUGACUGUGGGCCACACCGAACUGGGUUACUUGAACAAAACUGACUUGCCAUGGAAGUGCAUCAUUUGUUUUGGGGACUACCAGAUCUUAACAGAGAUACAAGAAGGAGAGUCUAUGGAUUAUUUUGAAACUCACUUACAUUUGGCUCAAAUGCCACUCUUACAAGAAAAAUGCCUGCCAUCACUGCAACCCAUACCUGAGACUGGCACUUUCCCUUCUUUGUUUCUUUCCCAAGACAAAAGCCCAACAGAGACUGAUGAAAAUGAGUCAUACUAGUCAGGAAAAGGAGGCUGGAUCAGAUUUUAAACAUUUGAAACCUGCAUGACUUCUGGAUCUGAAAUCAUGUAGUCCUUACUGCUGUUAUGUCAAUCCUCUUAGCCUUUGUGCUCAGGAUGAGUGCACCAGAAUUUCAUUGCUUCAACAGAAGCAGGCUCCUGCCCCUGUCCUUUUUUGGGCAUGUGUGCUGUCUGAUCACCACUGUUUGCCACAUCAGCAUGUGGGAGACCCCAGUUUACACAGACACUUAAGUCCACAGAAGCAGAUUCAAUUCAAGAACCAGGCCUACAUGCUCCAACUGAGCAUGCCAAAUGGUGUUUUAGCCCCAACAUUGAGUAGCUGAGUAGGGACUACAUAAUACAAGAGCUGAUUCUGUGCAAUAGCUGAAGCCCUGAAAUCCCACAGCAGCUAUGGAAGACUGAAGUCAUGAAGGUCAGAAAGGGGAAAUACUAUCAACUCCAUCCCUGUCUUGUCAUCUGUACCAACUUUAACACACUUAAAUGAGAAUAA